GCCUUCAUUUGAGAACAACAGGGAUUGCCCUAGUAACGGCGAGUGAAGCGGCAACAGCUCAAAUUUGAAAUCUGGCUCUUUUAGAGUCCGAGUUGUAAUUUGCAGAGGGCGCUUUGGCUUUGGCAGCGGUCCAAGUUCCUUGGAACAGGACGUCACAGAGGGUGAGAAUCCCGUACGUGGUCGCUGGCUAUUGCCGUGUAAAGCCCCUUCGACGAGUCGAGUUGUUUGGGAAUGCAGCUCUAAAUGGGAGGUACAUUUCUUCUAAAGCUAAAUAUUGGCCAGAGACCGAUAGCGCACAAGUAGAGUGAUCGAAAGAUGAAAAGCACUUUGGAAAGAGAGUCAAACAGCACGUGAAAUUGUUGAAAGGGAAGCGCUUGCAGCCAGACUUGCUUACAGUUGCUCAUCCGGGUUUUUACCCGGUGCACUCUUCUGUAGGCAGGCCAGCAUCAGUUUGGGGCGGUAGGAUAAAGGGCCUCUGUCACGUACCUCCUUCCGGGGAGGCUUUUUAGGGAAAACAACAUUAUUCCCGCCUGGGACUGAGGGCCCGCGAUUCGCCAAGAUGCUGGCUAAUGGCUGUACGGCCCUCUCUUAACCGGACCAGGGUUACACUCUUCAGUUUGGGUCAACCCACCUAAUAAAUAGAGAGGGAACCCCGGGGCCCACCCACCUGUUCUUAAAGUAAAAAAAAAGAUGUGUGGCCACAGAUGAUCUCUUUUAGGGACCACACUUGUGGGGCCCCGUCUCCUUUAUUCAUCAAUAGUGUGAGCAGAAACCAUCUCCCAUCUGUGCGUCCGUCUCUACAGAGAAA
rnacentral:rRNA from 1 species